AAGAGCGCUGCCGAGAACCUUCAGGCCGCUUAAGGAAUUGCGCUUCGGGUCUUUGACCACGGAUGUACUGGCACUGGCCUUCGAGGCGCUUAGGAGAAGGUCGGGUUUUCCCGGCCUUUUUCAUU
rnacentral:sRNA from 1 species